rnacentral:lncRNA from 1 species
UUGUUCCAUGCUAUUAUAUUACCCGUUUUGGAUGUUUAUGGGCUUUACUUUACACUUUUAUAUCAUUUUUGGGACUAACCUACUAACCGAAGGCCCAGCCCGAAUUGCUCUUUUUUUUGCCUAUUUCAGUGUUUCGAAGAAAAGGAAUAUCAAACGGAGUCCAAAUGGAAUGAGACCUUCGGGAGCGAUCUUUUUGGAACAAACAUGAUCCAGAGGACUUGGAGUGGAAGUCAAGAAACAAGCGAGGCGGCCACGAGGGUGCCGGGAGCGCCCCUACAGGGGGCGCGCCCCCACCCUCAUGGGCCCCUCGAGCGUCCACCGACCUACUUCUUCCUCCUACAUAUACCCAUGUACCCCGAAAACAUCAGAAGCGACCACGAAAAACUAUUUCCACCACCGUAACCUUCUGUAUCUGUGAGAUCCCAUCUUGGAGCCUUCGUCGGCGCUCUGUUGGAACAUCUUGGAGCCUUCGUCGGCGUUACCAUGGUGCUGUUUUUUGUGCAGAUAUAAAAGUUCUCAGAUUGGAACAAAACUUUGUGAGGAAUUUUUAUACAAAUAAAGAUAAUUUCUAGAGCCAAGAACCACUGGAGGGGGCACCUAGGUGGGCACAACUCACCAGGGCGUGGCCCCCAUCCAGGCACACCAAGGUGGGUUGUCCCCACCUGCUGGCCUCGCAGACUCCAACCCUGAUACUAUAAAAUCACAUAUUUGGAGAGAAAAAUAAGGGAGAAAGAAUUAUCAUGUUUCACGAGAUGGAGCCGCCGCCACCUCCUGUUCUUCAUCGAGAGGCCAGAUCUGGAGUCCGUUUGGGGCUCCAGAGAGGGGGGGGGUCUUUGAUCUUCGUCAUCACCAACCCUUCUCCAUCGCCAAUUCCAUGAUGCUCCCCACCGGGAGUGAGUAAUUCCUUCGUUGGCUCACUGGUCGGUGAGGAGUUGGAUGAGAUUCAUCAUGUAAUCGAGUCAGUUUUGUUAGGGCUUGAUCCCUAGUAUCCAUUUUGUUCUGAGAUUGUUGUUGCUAUGACUUUGCUGUGCUUAAAGCCUGUCACUUUGGGCCCAGGUGCCAUGAUUUCAUAUCUGAACCGUUUAUGUUAUCACCAUUAUAUCUAUGUUCUAGAUCCGAUCAUGCAAGUUAUAGUCACCUACUACGUGUUAUGAUCCGGCAAACCUGGAGUGACAGAAGUCGGGACACUUCCCGGCGAUGACCGUAGUUUGAGGAGUUCAUGUGUUUGAUACGUCUCCAAUGUAUCUAUAAUUUUUGAUUGUUCCAUGCUAUUAUAUUACCCGUUUUGGAUGUUUAUGGGCUUUACUUUACACUUUUAUAUCAUUUUUGGGACUAACCUACUAACCGAAGGCCCAGCCCGAAUUGCUCUUUUUUUUGCCUAUUUCAGUGUUUCGAAGAAAAGGAAUAUCAAACGGAGUCCAAAUGGAAUGAGACCUUCGGGAGCGAUCUUUUUGGAACAAACAUGAUCCAGAGGACUUGGAG